UACAUAAGUAAGUAAAUAAAUAAAUAAAUAAAUAAACAAAAAACCUCCCUUCAUCUGAUCCUCUGGAAAAUUAAAAAUAUCAGUUGCUUUAUACGACAAAUAGUUCUGUUUUGUAGACAUUAGUUGAUUAGAUUCUCUUUCUUCUGUAAAUAACUACAAGUAAUUUUAUUGGCAUAAAUGUUUUAUAUUUUAAGUACAUUUGUAAAUUAAUUAUAUAUGUAUAUAAAGAAAACCAAAUCAAUGGCAUAAACAUGAUCACUUCAUCAUAAUUGUCUCUGUUACUGUUCUUUUUCUACGACCAGUGAAACUUUUUGUUAAUGAGGUGCCAUUGCAACAUCACAAAGCUUCACAAGGCCCAGAGGUGUGCUAUGCUAGGCCAUCCUUAUCUGACAAGGCUCUUGAUGAGGAGCGAGGGCAUGUGAGGAAGUGGAAUCCGCAUUCUCUGACCUGGCAACAUGGCGUGAUAAUGACUGAAAUGACAACAUGCCUUUCAUUUUUGCGGGUUCAACCUGGGUGGCUGGUCUUAUAUGUCCAUGAAGGCCUGGAACCAACACAAGAAAACCCACUUGCAGGGAGACUGCCUACAGCUGCUCACACUCACAGAGGUUUAAGGAUCCCUUUCUGAGCCUGUGUUCCUUCAAAAGAUGCAAACUCCAAAAGUCCAGCUUGUACUGCUAAUUGUUCCUCAUAGUUGUACAAUUCCUAACUAUAAAAGAUCCAAGUGAAGAAGAAA